rnacentral:rRNA from 1 species
AUUGAACGCUGGCGGCACGCCUAACACAUGCAAGUCGAGCGGCAGCAUGCUUAGUAGCAAUACUAAGUGAUGGCGAGCGGCGGACGGGUGAGGAACACGUAGGAACCUGCCCAAAAGUGGGGGAUAACUAAGGGAAACUUUAGCUAAUACCGCAUAAUUCUCUGAGGAGAAAAGUUGCCCGUAAGGGUAGCGCUUUUGGAGGGGCCUGCGUCCGAUUAGUUAAUUGGUGAGGUAAUGGCUCACCAAGACGAUGAUCGGUAACUGGUCUGAGAGGACGACCAGUCACACUGGGACUGAGACACGGCCCAGACUCCUACGGGAGGCAGCAGUGGGGAAUCUUGGACAAUGGGGGCAACCCUGAUCCAGCGAUGCCGCGUGGGUGAAGAAGGCCUUCGGGUUGUAAAGCCCUUUAGGCUGGGAAGAAGAGUGCGGGGUGAAUAAUCCUGUACUUUGACGGUACCAGCAGAAUAAGCACCGGCAAACUCUGUGCCAGCCGCCGCGGUAA